rnacentral:antisense_RNA from 1 species
ACGUUUUGCGGCGAUCUCAAUUUCUGUUGCCUGGCCUUGGGCACCGCCAAGCGGCUGAUGGAUCAUCACUUCACUGUUUGGAAGGGCAUAACGCUUUCCUUUCGUGCCGGCUGCCAAUAAGAAAGCACCCAUGGAAGCAGCCAUUCCGAUACAAAUCGUUUGAACGUCAGGCUUAAUAAAUUGCAUCGUGUCGUAGAUGGCCAUACCUGCAGUAAUGCUUCCGCCAGGGCUGUUGAUAUAGAUAGAGAUAUCUUUUUCAGGGUUUUCAGCUUCAAGGAACAGCAGCUGGGCAACAAUUGAGUUCGCUAC